CAGGUGGUGCAUGGUUGUCGUCAGCUCGUGUCGUGAGAUGUUGGGUUAAGUCCCGCAACGAGCGCAACCCUCGUUCUAUGUUGCCAGCACGUAAUGGUGGGAACUCAUAGGAGACUGCCGGGGUCAACUCGGAGGAAGGUGGGGAUGACGUCAAAUCAUCAUGCCCCUUAUGUCUUGGGCUUCACGCAUGCUACAAUGGCCGGUACAAAGGGCUGCGAUACCGUAAGGUGGAGCGAAUCCCAAAAAGCCGGUCUCAGUUCGGAUUGAGGUCUGCAACUCGACCUCAUGAAGUCGGAGUCGCUAGUAAUCGCAGAUCAGCAACGCUGCGGUGAAUACGUUCCCGGGCCUUGUACACACCGCCCGUCAAGUCAUGAAAGUCGGUAACACCCGAAGCCAGUGGCCUAACCGCAAGGGAGGAGCUGUCGAAGGUGGGAUCGGUGAUUAGGACUAAGUCGUAACAAGGUAGCCGUACCGGAAGGUGCGGCUGGAUCACCUCCUUUCUAAGGA
rnacentral:rRNA from 1 species